CGGCACAGAGGGAAGCCAGGUGGCGACACCGCGCGGAACCCGAAAGCCGUUCUCAGUUCGGAUCGGAGUCUGCAACCCGACUCCGUGAAGCUGGAUUCGCUAGUAAUCGCGCAUCAGCAUGCCGCGGUGAAUACGUUCCCGGGCCUUGUACACACCGCCCGUCACACCAUGAGAGUCGGGAACACCCGAAGUCCGUAGUCUAACCGCAAGGAGGGCGCGGCCGAAGGUGGGUUCGAUAAUUGGGGUGAAGUCGUAACAAGGUAGC
rnacentral:rRNA from 1 species